rnacentral:rRNA from 1 species
UGGGGAAUAUUGGACAAUGGGCGCAAGCCUGAUCCAGCCAUGCCGCGUGAGUGAUGAAGGCCCUAGGGUUGUAAAGCUCUUUCACCGGUGAAGAUAAUGACGGUAACCGGAGAAGAAGCCCCGGCUAACUUCGUGCCAGCAGCCGCGGUAAUACGAAGGGGGCUAGCGUUGUUCGGAUUUACUGGGCGUAAAGCGCACGUAGUCGGACUUUUAAGUCAGGGGUGAAAUCCCGGGGCUCAACCCCGGAACUGCCUUUGAUACUGGAAGUCUUGAGUAUGGUAGAGGUGAGUGGAAUUCCGAGUGUAGAAGUGAAAUUCGUAGAUAUUCGGAGGAACACCAGUGGCGAAGGCGGCUCACUGGACCAUUACUGACGCUGAGGUGCGAAAGCGUGGGGAGCAAACAGG